AUGGCGGAGCCCGGCCGCCCGUGGGCCCAGGCGCGUAGUGCGUACAGAGCCAGCGAGGUGCUGCGGCGCGGCCCGGGCCGCCGGCGGGACCCGGGGCCGCAAUCCAAUGGGCCGGGCCAGGAAGACGCCCGAGCCCCGGGCCGGCGGGCUCGCCUGCGCGGCCAGCUCCGGGCCGAAGCGGCUUCGCGGUCUGUGGUGGAGCGUGCGGGGGCCGGGGCGGCGGGCGCGGGCGCGGGCGAGAGGACCGGCGCGCACAGCCGCGGCUCCGUGUGCUCGGUAUGCGGGGAGCCCCGCGGCGGGGCCACCUACCCGGCGGGGGUCCUGGAGGUGAGCGAGCGGCGGCUGCAGGAGGGCCUGGCCGCAGUGCGCGAGGAGCUGGGCGCCGGGAUUGAGGCGCUGCGCGCGGAGCUUCGAGCGGAGCUGGACGCCCUGCGCGCGCUGCUGCUGCCGCCGCCGCCGUCCCCGCCUGCCCGCCGCGAGCCCCGCGCCGUCCCCCGCGCCGCGCCCCGCGGCCCGACCCUGCUGCGGACGCUCGGCACCGUGAGCGCCCUGGUCGCCGCCUCCAGGCCCUCAGACGACGCCCCGGACGGCCCAGCAGAAGGCGGAGCGCACCGAGCCCCGGCCAGGAAGAACCACAAGAAGAUGCCAGUGCCGCCUGGGGCCCCGCAAGGUGGCGGGGACUGAGGGCGGCCGCACAAGGGCAGCCUAGGCGAGGUGCGGAAGGCGUCGCGCUGGCUACUCUGGUACCCCCAGGACGGGGCAAGUCUCAGUGAGGAGGCAGGGUCUCCACGCACUGGAAUAGUGUCAAACCACACACAAGGGCACAGAACCCAGGGACACAGGGCGGCUGAGACACGCAGCUGGUGAUGUCCCUCAGGACGGUGUCAACCAGUAUGUAAUCACAUUCCACACGGCACCCACCUGGACAGCGGCCUCCGGUCAGCCUCACUCUGACUGCAACCCCCCUCUCACUGGACAGCAUCACCUGGGCACAGAGCCUCACCUAGUCUGUGUCCCGUGGACCCAGCUUUGCUUUGGACAGUGACAUCAAGAAUACUCACCCCUUUACUUAGCCAGACCACAGGCAGCCACCUGGACACAAACAUCUCUCCAGAGUCACCCUCCACGCAGACUCCACAGCAGAACUCCCGGGGAGGCACUGGGGCAUGGCUUCGGAACACCAGGCAGCCCUCCGCGGUGCCCAGCACCGGCUCAGCCAGGGCAGCCUGCAGCGGAGCCUGGAGCCAGCAGCUUCUCAUCUCUUGGCCUCGGGAAAUGUAGCUGGAGUCAUCAUUUAGCAGAGCACAGUGUCCCUGGGUUGGUCACCCAGCUUAGUUUUAAAAUAAAAUAAUGUAAUCU